rnacentral:lncRNA from 1 species
AGCUGCCGCCACCCGAGCUCGAAGCUGGAUUCUCUCUCUUGAGAAUCUCAUUUCGGAGAAUCAUUAUGAUGACCUCAUCCAUCUUGAUGGUGCUCUUCCCCACUAAAAGAGCAGUCACUAAAGACUUAUAUGAAGGAAAAAGCGAUGGUACCAAGACCAGCACCCUAGUCUUCUUCUCAACUUUCUCGUAAUGCUGAGG